rnacentral:rRNA from 1 species
GACGAACGCUGGCGGCGUGCCUAAUACAUGCAAGUAGAACGCUGAAGGAGGAGCUUGCUCUUCUGGAUGAGUUGCGAACGGGUGAGUAACGCGUAGGUAACCUGCCUGGUAGCGGGGGAUAACUAUUGGAAACGAUAGCUAAUACCGCAUAACAGUAGAUGUUGCAUGACAUUUACUUAAAAGGUGCAAUUGCAUCACUACCAGAUGGACCUGCGUUGUAUUAGCUAGUUGGUGGGGUAACGGCUCACCAAGGCGACGAUACAUAGACGACCUGAGAGGGAGAUCGGCCCUACUGGGACUGAGACACGGCCCAGACUCCUUGAGGAGGCAGCAGUAGGGAAUCUUAGGCAAUGGACGGAAGUCUGACCGAGCAACGCCGCGUGAGUCAAGAAGGUUUUCGGAUCGUAAAGCUCUGUUGUAAGAGAAGAACGAGUGUGAGAGUGGAAAGUUCACACUGUGACGGUAUCUUACCAGAAAGGGACGGCUAACUACGUG